CAGCCGCCGCGGGAAUACGGAGGGGGCUAGCGUUGUUCGGAAUUACUGGGCGUAAAGGGCGCGUAGGCGGUUUGUACAGUUGGAUGUGAAAUUCCUGGGCUUAACCUGGGGGCUGCAUCCAAUACGUGCAGGCUUGAGUGUGGAAGAGGGUUGUGGAAUUCCCAGUGUAGAGGUGAAAUUCGUAGGUAUUGGGAAGAACACCGGUGGCGAAGGCGGCAACCUGGUCCAUUACUGACGCUGAGGCGCGAAAGCGUGGGGAGCAAACAGGAUUAGAGACCCCUGUAGUCCCUGUCUCUUAUAC
rnacentral:rRNA from 1 species